rnacentral:rRNA from 1 species
GACGAACGCUGGCGGCGUGCUUAACACAUGCAAGUCGAACGGAAAGGCCCUGCUUUUGUGGGGUGCUCGAGUGGCGAACGGGUGAGUAACACGUGAGUAACCUGCCCUUGACUUUGGGAUAACUUCAGGAAACUGGGGCUAAUACCGGAUAGGAGCUCCUGCUGCAUGGUGGGGGUUGGAAAGUUUCGGCGGUUGGGGAUGGACUCGCGGCUUAUCAGCUUGUUGGUGGGGUAGUGGCUUACCAAGGCUUUGACGGGUAGCCGGCCUGAGAGGGUGACCGGCCACAUUGGGACUGAGAUACGGCCCAGACUCCUACGGGAGGCAGCAGUGGGGAAUAUUGCACAAUGGGCGGAAGCCUGAUGCAGCAACGCCGCGUGCGGGAUGACGGCCUUCGGGUUGUAAACCGCUUUCGCCUGUGACGAAGCGUGAGUGACGGUAAUGGGUAAAGAAGCACCGGCUAACUACGUGCCAGCAGCCGCGGUGAUACGUAGGGUGCGAGCGUUGUCCGGAUUUAUUGGGCGUAAAGGGCUCGUAGGUGGUUGAUCGCGUCGGAAGUGUAAUCUUGGGGCUUAACCCUGAGCGUGCUUUCGAUACGGGUUGACUUGAGGAAGGUAGGGGAGAAUGGAAUUCCUGGUGGAGCGGUGGAAUGCGCAGAUAUCAGGAGGAACACCAGUGGCGAAGGCGGUUCUCUGGGCCUUCCCUGACGCUGAGGAGCGAAAGCGUGGGGAGCGAACAGGCUUAGAUACCCUGGUAGUCCACGCUGUAAACGGUGGGUACUAGGUGUGGGGUCCAUUCCACGGGUUCCGUGCCGUAGCUAACGCUUUAAGUACCCCGCCUGGGGAGUACGGCCGCAAGGCUAAAACUCAAAGGAAUUGACGGGGCCCCGCACAAGCGGCGGAGCAUGCGGAUUAAUUCGAUGCAACGCGUAGAACCUUACCUGGGUUUGACAUGGAUCGGGAGUGCUCAGAGAUGGGUGUGCCUCUUUUGGGGUCGGUUCACAGGUGGUGCAUGCCUGUCGUCAGCUCGUGUCGUGAGAUGUUGGGUUAAGUCCCGCAACGAGCGCAACCCUUGUUCACUGUUGCCAGCACGUUAUGGUGGGGACUCAGUGGAGACCGCCGGGGUCAACUCGGAGGAAGGUGGGGAUGACGUCAAGUCCUCAUACCCCUUAUGUCCAGGGCUUCACGCAUGCUACAAUGGCUGGUACAGAGAGUGGCGAGCCUGUGAGGGUGAGCGAAUCUCGGAAAGCCGGUCUCAGUUCGGAUUGGGGUCUGCAACUCGACCUCAUGAAGUCGGAGUCGCUAGUAAUCGCAGAUCAGCAACGCUGCGGUGAAUACGUUCCCGGG